GAUGAACGCUAGCGGCAGGCCUAAUACAUGCAAGUCGAACGGUAAAUAUUUUAGCAAUAGAAUAUGAGAGUGACGUACGGGUGCGUAACACGUAUGCAACCUACCCUUUACAGGAGGAUAGCUCGGGGAAACUCGAAUUAAGCCUUCAUAGUAUAAUUGGAUGGCAUCAUUUGAUUAUUAAAACUGAGGUGGUAAAGGAUGGGCAUGCGUCUGAUUGGUUAGUUGGCGGGGUAACGGCCCACCAAGACGAUGAUCAGUAGGGGAACUGAGAGGUUGAUCCCCCACACUGGCACUGAGAUACGGGCCAGACUCCUACGGGAGGCAGCAGUAGGGAAUAUUGGUCAAUGGAUGGAAGUCUGAACCAGCCAUGCCGCGUGCAGGAAGACGGCCUUCUGGGUUGUAAACUGCUUUUGCCAGGGGCUAAAAAGCUCGUGCGUGAGAAAUUGAAAGUACCUGGUGAAUAAGCCACGGCUAACUACGUGC
rnacentral:rRNA from 1 species